rnacentral:rRNA from 1 species
GACUGACUGGCUCGAUACUGACACUGAGGUGCGAAAGCGUGGGGAGCAAACGGGAUUAGAUACCCCGGUAGUCACGCCGUAAACGAUGUCUACUAGCCGUUGGAGGACUUGAUCCUUUAGUGGCGCAGCUAACGCGAUAAGUAGACCGCCUGGGGAGUACGGUCGCAAGAUUAAAACUCAAAUGAAUUGACGGGGGCCCGCACAAGCGGUGGAGCAUGUGGUUUAAUUCGAAGCAACGCGAAGAACCUUACCUACUCUUGACAUCCAGUGAACUUUUGAGAGAUCAAUUGGUGCCUUCGGGAACACUGAGACAGGUGCUGCAUGGCUGUCGUCAGCUCGUGUUGUGAAAUGUUGGGUUAAGUCCCGUAACGAGCGCAACCCUUGUCCUUAGUUACCAUCAUUAAGUUGGGGACUCUAAGGAGACUGCCGGUGACAAACCGGAGGAAGGCGGGGACGACGUCAAGUCAUCAUGGCCCUUACGAGUAGGGCUACACACGUGCUACAAUGGCAUGUACAAAGGGUUGCCAAGCCGCGAGGUGGAGCUAAUCCCAUAAAGCAUGUCGUAGUCCGGAUUGGAGUCUGCAACUCGACUCCAUGAAGUCGGAAUCGCUAGUAAUCGUGAAUCAGAAUGUCACGGUGAAUACGUUCCCGGGCCUUGUACACACCGCCCGUCACACCAUGGGAGUGGGUUGCUCCAGAAGUAGAUAGCUUAACCUUCGGGAGGGCGUUUACCACGGAGUGAUUCAUGACUGGGGUGAAGUCGUAACAAGGUAGCCGUA